AAAACAAGAAUAAACCGAAGAUGAUUUGAAACGGGAUUGCUGCGAAAGAAAUAAGAAGAAUUUGAUUGAAAGUAAACCCUAAAUUUGAGAUACGAAGACGAUGAAGAUUGUUGUUGAUGUCUGUAAAGAGAGAGUCUGAGUUAGAGUGGUUUAUAUAGAAAGAAUGUGGCGUUGUGAAGCUUAAUGCAGUUUUUCAAUGUUUCCUUUUCCAAAACUGGAUUAUUGGAUUUUACUGUUUUGCCAUCGAUAAAUUUCCUUUUUUUUUUUUCUAAUUUGAUCAUUUAAUGAUGAUCCUUUUUGGUUAUUUCCUUUUUUAGUUAAAAUCUGAGCGUUAGAAAAAACAAGGAGAAGAUGAGAGAGGGCUCCCGCAAAUAUUCGUUACUUGCCAUAUACCCGCUACUUGAUCUGUAUUCGCCUCGUUUUUUCAAGUACUCGUUGUUGCCAAGUCAAGUAUCAAGUCGUUGAGUUUUGCAAGUACAAGGCAAGUAAUAAGUAUCACAAAAAAAGUUAUAACUCGCCUUGAUAUUACUUGUUACUUGUUUUACAACUGAAAAAUUGAUAACUUAACCAUAAAAAC
rnacentral:lncRNA from 1 species